rnacentral:rRNA from 1 species
AGUGAACGCUGGCGGUAGGCCUAACACAUGCAAGUCGAACGGCAGCACAGUAAGAGCUUGCUCUUACGGGUGGCGAGUGGCGGACGGGUGAGGAAUACAUCGGAAUCUACUUUUUCGUGGGGGAUAACGUAGGGAAACUUACGCUAAUACCGCAUACGACCUACGGGUGAAAGCAGGGGAUCUUCUGACCUUGCGCGAUUGAAUGAGCCGAUGUCGGAUUAGCUAGUUGGCGGGGUAAAGGCCCACCAAGGCGACGAUCCGUAGCUGGUCUGAGAGGAUGAUCAGCCACACUGGAACUGAGACACGGUCCAGACUCCUACGGGAGGCAGCAGUGGGGAAUAUUGGACAAUGGGCGCAAGCCUGAUCCAGCCAUACCGCGUGGGUGCAGAAGGCCUUCGGGUUGUAAAGCCCUUUUGUUGGGAAAGAAAAGCAGCAGGUUAAUACCCCGCUGUUAUGACGGUACCCAAAGAAUAAGCACCGGCUAACUUCGUG